rnacentral:rRNA from 1 species
UACGUAGGGUGCAAGCGUUGUCCGGAAUUAUUGGGCGUAAAGAGCUCGUAGGCGGUCUGUCGCGUCGAUCGUGAAAACUUGGGGCUUAACCCUGAGCUUGCGGUCGAUACGGGCAUGACUGGAGUUCGGCAGGGGAGACUGGAAUUCCUGGUGUAGCGGUGAAAUGCGCAGAUAUCAGGAAGAACACCCGUGGCGAAGGCGGCUCUCUGGGACGGUACUGACGCUGAGACGCGAAAGCGUGGGGAGCGAACAGG